rnacentral:rRNA from 1 species
CCUACGGGUGGCAGCAGUAGGGAAUAUUGCUCAAUGGGGGAAACCCUGAAGCAGCAACGCCGCGUGGAGGAUGAAGGUUUUCGGAUUGUUAACUUCUUUUGUUAGAGAAGAUAAUGACGUUAUCUAACGAAUAAGCACAGGCUAACACCAUGCCAGCAGCCGCGGUAACACGGAGGGUGCAAGCGUUACUCGGAAUCACUGGGCGUAAAGAGCGCGUAGGCGGGAUAGCAAGUCAGCUGUGAAAUCCUAUGGCUUAACCAUAGAACUGCAUUUGAAACUGUUAUUCUAGAGUAUGGGAGAGGUAGGUGGAAUGUUUGGUGUAGGGGUGAAAUGCGUAGAGAUCAAGAGGAAUACUCAUUGCGAAGGCGACCUGCUAGAACAUAACUGACGCUGAUGCGCGAAAGCGUGGGGAGCGAACAGGAUUAGAUACCCGGGUAGUC